rnacentral:lncRNA from 1 species
ACCGGACCGGCCGGUUGAACCGGUCGAACCGGGAACCGGAGUGUUCACCGGUCUGGUUCAAUUGCUGGACCGGACAUGCUUUUGAACCGGUGAGAACCGGCCAGAACCGUCAAAACCGGUAAAAACCGGAGAACCGGCGGUUUUGGAAAACCGGCGGUUUUAAUGCAUGAGUUUUUUUUUUUUACUUAUGUUUUUUUAAAAAAUAAAUAAAUAGAAAAUAGCAGAAACAAAAAUAAAAAGCUGAGACUUGAAGCGUAUCAGAAGACUAUAUUUUCUUUAGCAGAUAAAGAAGAAAGGGAUGAAAUACUUUAUAAUAAUUAUAUAAAAAAUUGUACAUAUUAUCCUAUAUUUUUUAGUUUUGAACCCGCUGAAAUUUUUUUUUUGCACCGAUAAUAAACUCCUCAUACACUCGCGAGCUAAAGAUGAAGAAGAAGUAUGUAGAAGUAUCAUGUUGUACACCAGUAGAAGAAUAGAAAAUGAAAUAAAGAAAGAAAGAAGCAGGGAGAUAAAAGAUGCGGCGCAGCAACUAUUCUUCAAUUGAUAAAGCACUAAUUUAGGGUUAUGUGUAUGUAUUUGAACCAAAAGAAAAGAUUAUGUAUAUUAUAUAUUAUGGGCUUGGGCCAUGCGUUUGUCACUUCUAAUUCCACUUAUUAUACACACAGUUUUGUACACAUAAUUUUUUUUUGGUACACAACCUUUUAUUUGGACUGAUAAAUUAUUAUAUACUGUCUUCAUUCCUAAUUAUAAGAUCAUGUUUGACC